rnacentral:rRNA from 1 species
UAGGGAAUCUUCCGCAAUGGGCGAAAGCCUGACGGAGCAACGCUGCGUGAGUGAUGAAGGUCUUCGGAUCGUAAAACUCUGUUAUUAGGGAAGAACAAAUGUGUAAGUAACUAUGCACGUCUUGACGGUACCUAAUCAGAAAGCCACGGCUAACUACGUGCCAGCAGCCGCGGUAAUACGUAGGUGGCAAGCGUUAUCCGGAAUUAUUGGGCGUAAAGCGCGCGUAGGCGGUUUUUUAAGUCUGAUGUGAAAGCCCACGGCUCAACCGUGGAGGGUCAUUGGAAACUGGAAAACUUGAGUGCAGAAGAGGAAAGUGGAAUUCCAUGUGUAGCGGUGAAAUGCGCAGAGAUAUGGAGGAACACCAGUGGCGAAGGCGACUUUCUGGUCUGUAACUGACGCUGAUGUGCGAAAGCGUGGGAAUCAAACAGG